GACGAACGCUGGCGGCGUGCCUAAUACAUGCAAGUAGAACGCUGAAGAGAGGAGCUUGCUCUUCUUGGAUGAGUUGCGAACGGGUGAGUAACGCGUAGGUAACCUGCCUUGUAGCGGGGGAUAACUAUUGGAAACGAUAGCUAAUACCGCAUAACAAUGGAUGACACAUGUCAUUUAUUUGAAAGGGGCAAUUGCUCCACUACAAGAUGGACCUGCGUUGUAUUAGCUAGUAGGUGAGGUAACGGCUCACCUAGGCGACGAUACAUAGCCGACCUGAGAGGGUGAUCGGCCACACUGGGACUGAGACACGGCCCAGACUCCUACGGGAGGCAGCAGUAGGGAAUCUUCGGCAAUGGGGGCAACCCUGACCGAGCAACGCCGCGUGAGUGAAGAAGGUUUUCGGACCGUAAAGCUCUGUUGUAAGUCAAGAACGAGUGUGAGAGUGGAAAGUUCACACUGUGACGGUAGCUUACCAGAAAGGGACGGCUAACUACGUG
rnacentral:rRNA from 1 species